AGAGAGUUGGCUGAAUUGGUUUAAAGCACCAGUCUUGAAAACUGGAGUCGUAACAGACAUUAGGGUUCGAGUCCCUAACUCUCUA
rnacentral:tRNA from 1 species